rnacentral:sRNA from 1 species
AGCGGUAAAGUAAGAUGUUGUGCCAGAAAGCAGUGUCUUAUGAGCUUUAUAAGGGUUUAACACAAUCUGGCUAGAGGUUAGUCCUCGAAAGAAAAUGUAA